rnacentral:rRNA from 1 species
CGGACGGGUGAGUAACGUGUGGGCAACCUGCCCUGCACUGGGGAAUAAUCAUUGGAAACGAUGACUAAUACCGCGUACGGUUCCUGGGAGGCAUCUUCCGGGAAAGAAAGGAUUUAUUCGGUGCAGGAUGGGCCCGCAUCUGAUUAGCUAGUUGGUGAGAUAACAGCCCACCAAGGCGACGAUCAGUAGCCGACCUGAGAGGGUGACCGGCCACAUUGGGACUGAGACACGGCCCAAACUCCUACGGAAGGCAGCAG